UUCUGAACAAAGUACGGGUCCUCGGAGAGGUCCGGCGACCCAGACUCGGGGUCUUCCUCAGCACCAUCGAUUUGCAGAGGCAAAGGUGGGCCCAGAGUUCUACAGGAAAAGCUCAUGUGGUCACAUUCCUAUUGAAGAGAAGCCUCCAAGCUUCAAGCAACAUCACAUACACAGGAUUCUGCUAGAGAUAGAAAAAAAGGAAACCACUACCACAGAUACUGUCAAAUAAAUGAACAGAAUUACACCCUAUGCCUCAAGCGCUUUUGCCCUUCAGAUAUAAUGAAAUCCAAUGAUCAAAAAUGAGUCGUGAAGGUUCAG